rnacentral:rRNA from 1 species
UGACCUCGGAUCAGGUAGGAGGACCCGCU